CAGCCGCCGCGGGAAUACGGAGGGCGCGAGCGUUACCCGGAUUUACUGGGCGUAAAGGGCGUGUAGGCGGCCUGGGGCGUCCCAUGUGAAAGGCCACGGCUCAACCGUGGAGGAGCGUGGGAUACGCUCAGGCUAGAGGGUGGGAGAGGGUGGUGGAAUUCCCGGAGUAGCGGUGAAAUGCGCAGAUACCGGGAGGAACGCCGAUGGCGAAGGCAGCCACCUGGUCCACUUCUGACGCUGAGGCGCGAAAGCGUGGGGAGCAAACCGGAUUAGAUACCCCAGUAGUCCCUGUCUCUUAUAC
rnacentral:rRNA from 1 species